GGGCUAUAUUUACCACCUGACAACCUACCUGUUUUCAACAAACUCCAGAAAAGAUCACAGCCAAUCAAAAGUUCGACUGCUCCUGGCCUGUUAAAAGUUUCAUCGGCAAGAUGUAGAUUGUGUGGAAGAAUAAAACACAUAAGCUUAGUUUUAAAAUUGGUAUAUAACGAGCUCAAGUCAACUUGACAUUUAUUGCGCACCUUGUGAUAAAGGAAGACAUGGAUCCAGAAUCUAGCAAAGCACGCACAGUGUGAGGAAUGCCAAACUUAUCCAGAACUUGAACACGAGCUGUUGAUAACAAUGUAACACGCUUACUUGAUUUGGACACAGUACUAGUUAAAACUGGCUCGACUUGAGGUGUUUCAUAGCUACUAUUAUCAGCAUUUUGCCCCUGC